ensembl:lncRNA
CGGGGCCUGGCCCGAGCCCUGGGGGGGGGCGCCGCCCCCAAAGUGGGGGACCCCCCCCUCACCCUGACGGCCACCGUGCAGGGGCUGGGGCCCCGCCUGCGCCUGACUUUGGGGGUGCUGCUGCCCGGGGGGGCCCCCCCGACCCCCAACCUGGUGCUGCUGCUGCGCUGCCACCCCCCCCCAAAACGGCUGCAGCCCCCCUGCCUCAAGGUACCCCAAAAACCCCCAAAAAUACCCUGAAACCACCCAAAAAUACACCCAAAAACCCCCAAAAAUACCCUGAAACCACCCAAAAAUACCCUGAAACCACCCAAAAAUACCCUAAAACCACCCAAAAAUACCCUGAAACCACCCAAAAAUACCCUAAAACCACCCAAAAAUACCCUGAAACCACCCAAAAAUACCCCCAAAACCACCCAAAAAUACACCCAAAAUCCCCCCAAAACGGCUGCAGCCCCCCUGCCUCAAGGUACCCCAAAAAACCCAAAAAUACCCUGAAACCACCCAAAAAUACCCCCAAAACCACCCCAAAACGGCCUCAGCCCCCCUGCCUCAAGGUACCCCAAAAACCCCCAAAAAUACCCUGAAACCACCCCAAAAUACCCUAAAACCACCCAAAAUUACCCCGACAUACCCCAAAUAACCCCAAAAUCCCCCCAAAUCAUCCCAAAACAAUCUUAAGAAAUGCUCCAAACCCCCCAGAAUGCCCCAAAAUCCCUCCAAAAAUACCCCAAAAUCCCCCCAAAAUACCCCAAAAUCCCCCCAAAAAUCCCUGCAAAAAUAACCCGAAAUACCCCAAAAUCCCCCCAAAAAUCCCUCCAAAAAUAACCCAAAAUACCCCAAAAUCCCCGCAAAAAUCCCUGCAAAAAUAACCCAAAAUACCCCAAAAUCCCCCCAAAUACCCCCAAAAUAACCUAAAAAAUUCCCCAAACCCCCCAAAAUGCCCCAAACCCCCCAGAAUGCCCCAAAGCCCCCAAAAUGCCCCAAAUCCCCCAAAUCCCCAAUUUCUGCCCCCCCAGGUGCCGCUGCUGCUGCCGGGGCUGCGCUGCUGCCUCGGGACCUGGCUGGAACCCGGGCAGGGCCCGGCCCGGCUGCAGGUGCUGGUGCUGUGCCCGGGCCGGGAGGGGCCUCUGCUGACGGCUCAGGUGGGGCUGCCCCCGGUGGCCACCUGAGGGACACCUGGGACACCUGGGACACCUGUGACACACCUGUGGCACACCUGGGACACACCUGGGGACACCUGGGGACACCUGUGGCACACCUGGGACACCUGGGACACACCUGUGGCACACCUGGGGACACCUGUGGCACACCUGUGGCACCUGCCCCUGGCACUGGUGUCACCCGUGUCACCCCUGCCCCGUGGCACCGGCACCUGGCACCGUGCUGGCCCUCACCUGUCCCCUCAUCUGUGCCACACCCGUGUCACACCUGUGCCACACCCGUGUCACACCCGUGCCACACCCGUGCCACACCCGUGUCACACCUGUCCCCUCCCCCGUCCCCAAUAAAGCUCCCGGUGCCGCAGCCCCGGCUCCUUGGGGGAGGGGCAGCCCCAGUGCUCCCAGUUCCCUCCCAGUACCUCCCAGUCCCUCCCAGUAACCCCCCAGUGCCCUCCCAGCACCCCCCAGUCCCUCCCA